CAUCAUUUUGCUUGCUAUCACUGC
rnacentral:siRNA from 1 species